rnacentral:rRNA from 1 species
AUAACGGUCCUAAGGUAGCGAAAUUCCUUGUCAGGUAAGUUCUGACCCGCACGAAAGGCGUAACGAUUUGGGCGCUGUCUCAGCUGUAGACUCGGUGAAGUCUUAGUACCUGUGAAGAUGCAGGUUACCCGCGACUAGACGGAAAGACCCCAUGGAGCUUUACUGUAGCUUGAUAUUGGACUUUGAUGCAAGAUGUACAGGAUAGGUAGGAGACUGAGAGACAUGCACGCCAGUGUGUGAGGAGUCAAUGUUGGGAUACUACUCUUCUUGUAUUGGAGUUCUAACCGGAUGCCAUGGAACUGGCAACGGGACAGUGUCAGGUGGGCAGUUUGACUGGGGCGGUCGCCUCCCAAAGAGUAACGGAGGCGCCCAAAGAUACCCUCAGCUUGGAUGGAAACCAAGCGCAGAGUGCAAAGGCAAAAGGGUGUUUGACUGCGAGACCUACAAGUCGAGCAGGGACGAAAGUCGGGCUUAGUGAUCCGGCGGUGCUGAAUGGAAAGGCCGUCGCUCAACGGAUAAAAGCUACCCUGGGGAUAACAGGCUGAUCUCCCCCAAGAGUUCACAUCGACGGGGAGGUUUGGCACCUCGAUGUCGGCUCAUCACAUCCUGGAGCGGAAGUACGUUCCAAGGGUUGGGCUGUUCGCCCAUUAAAGUGGUACGCGAGCUGGGUUCAGAACGUCGUGAGACAGUUCGGUCCUUAUCUGUCGCAGGCGGAAGAUAUUUGAAGGGAGCUGUCCUUAGUACGAGAGGACCAGGAUGGACAUACCGAUGGUUUAUCAGUUGUCACACCAGUGGCAUGGCUGAGUAGCCAAGUAUGGAAGGGAUAAACGCUGAAAGCAUCUAAGUGUGAAGCCCACCCCAAGAUAAGAUAUCCCAUACCGUAAGGUAGUAAGAUUCCACGUAGACUAUGUGGUAGAUAGGUUGGAGGUGUAAGUGCAGUAAUGCAUUAAGCUGACCAAUACUAAUAAAUCGAGGGCUUAACCAC